AUGCCGAGGUGUUCAUCACGGGCGACGACUCGAGGAGGCCGACGAACAGGACGCCCUUGGACCGGCAUGGCGGGGGGAGGCCAUGUAGCACGCGUUGCUCUGGUUGCCCUGUAUCCUGGAUGCCGCCGACCACAGGGGCACCGGCUGCACGUGUUUCCCGGCCGCCUCCGACCAGUGGGGCUCUCGCGAUGUGUUACUUUGUAUCCCGGCCACCGCGGACAGCGAGGGCUCCCUCUACACGUGUUGCUUUGUUUCCCGGCCGCCGCUGACCACUCGGGCUCCGGCUUCAUUUGUUGCUCUGCGUCCAUUGCUCCUUUGGCGACGGUGAGGACGUGCCGAGAGCUCAUUCUACCAUGA
rnacentral:rRNA from 1 species